UUUUUUUAACUAACAAUUUUUAUUUCUUUUUGAUUAUUUAGGAGUUGUUGGCCAUGGAAUUCAAUGAUUGGCCACAAGAAGAAGAUGAUGAGCCAUAUAUAGAGCCACCAUUUGAUGAGAGUGUUCUUACACCGGAACAAAAGGUGAAGUUGGAUGAACUUUACAUGGAGAAUCCAACAUUGACAAGGAGUGACUUAGCGACUAU
rnacentral:lncRNA from 1 species